rnacentral:rRNA from 1 species
GAUGAACGCUAGCUACAGGCUUAACACAUGCAAGUCGAGGGGAAACGACAUCGAAAGCUUGCUUUUGAUGGGCGUCGACCGGCGCACGGGUGAGUAACGCGUAUCCAACCUGCCCACCACUUGGGGAUAACCUUGCGAAAGUAAGACUAAUACCCAAUGAUAUCUCUAGACGACAUCUGAAAGGGAUUAAAGAUUUAUCGGUGAUGGAUGGGGAUGCGUCUGAUUAGCUUGUUGGCGGGGUAACGGCCCACCAAGGCAACGAUCAGUAGGGGUUCUGAGAGGAAGGUCCCCCCACAUUGGAACUGAGACACGGUCCAAACUCCUACGGGAGGCAGCAGUGAGGAAUAUUGGUCAAUGGACGAGAGUCUGAACCAGCCAAGUAGCGUGCAGGAUGACGGCCCUAUGGGUUGUAAACUGCUUUUAUAAGGGAAUAAAGUGAGCCUCGUGAGGCUUUUUGCAUGUACCUUAUGAAUAAGGACCGGCUAAUUCCGUGCCAGCAGCCGACGG